rnacentral:lncRNA from 1 species
CACAUCGACGUUUACAACCAACUAAAGCAAGACGAACGAGAACAUGCACCCAUUAACCCAAUAUCACCGGAAGAGCUCACUCUUAGUUGGAUAGUGAUUGUACCCACGAGUAGUAUUCGGGCAGCAAACUUAUCCAGCCGACGACCUGUGUCGAUUAACAAAAAUCCAUACACUGAAGAAACUAAUAUUCAGUUCGCUACAGUCAUCGGAGAUUAUAUUGCUUCUGCAAUGGUGACGUACUGUAGUGAAACGAUGCAGUUGUUGGAAGUGAGUCUGAACAUGAAGGGACAAGAUGGGGCUUGGUUGAACGGGAAGGAUACUUUGGUGGCCAUGAGAAUGGCAUCGGAGGGGAAGAGAAUUGGAAAUUGGAAGGAAGAAAACGUGGUAGUUAAAGUGAAGGAAAGAUAUUGGGAAUAUGAGAAGAUAAAGAAGGAGAAGAUGGAGAAGAGAGUGAGAAUAGAAUGGACGGUGGAUAUGCUUCUUGUUCUUGCUAGUGUAUUCAUCUUCUUUGGUUUCACUGCACACGUGUCAUAUACGUGAGGCUUUAUUUCCAGGUGGCAAUGACCGGCUUAAUAGUUAAUAUUUAAUAGUUAUAAGUUAUAACUUUGACGGUGCAUUGCAUAUAUUUCCCUAUUAAAAUCUGUAAUUAAUAUCAGCAGUCUAUAUUUUUAUGAAUAUCAUAACAGUCCUAAUUAUUUAUUUAUUUGAGACAAAUGGCAUUAUCCGGACAAGUUCACCAACUCGACUUCCCCUAGCGGCGAUUUUCCGAUUUUUCAUAUAAUAGCUUUCGGUAUGAUGGUGUUUUAUAGAAUUUUUUUCAAAAAAAAUCCAUUGAACCAAUUGAAUUCGACCUACAUACGAUAGUUUCCUCCCUUCUCAUGCCGCCACCAAAUUGUUCAUGGAAAAUUUAUAUCGGCGGCUUAACCGUCAAUCUUAUUACAUCAAUAAUCGAAAUCAGCAAAUCCUUACUGGCGGCCCGACCAUUAGGAUAAUACAUUUUUGGCGACAACACUUCUGGCGCUGACAUAUUGGCGGCCGGACCGCACGACCCCUAUAAUAUUUGCAGUCAGAUCAUUAGUAUUUGCCGCCAGUUUGUCUGUAGUGCCAUCUUGUCAAGAUCUCCUGCAGCGAAUUUAUCAAUGGUAGACAGUCUGUCUUCUUUACCGAUUUACCCGUAACCAGAACGCCAAGAUAAUUAAAUGGUAGUCCGACAAUUGGAAGAUCUAUUAUCUCUGACAUUUCACGGCCAUUCUCUACACUUUUCGAAAACAAAACCCCACUCUUAUUCACAUUCAACUGAAGACUUGAGAAUUCCGAGAAGCAAUCUAGUAAUCUCUUCACACAUUUUAGAGAUUUUUUCGAUGCCUUGCAGAAGAGAAUAAAAUCAUCCGUAUAAGUAAGAUUCGUUUCCACUUCUGUACCAUCAAUUUUGUAUACGCAAAGGUCUUUCCUUUCCCGUGCCUUCUUCAAUAAUAUGGACAUAAGAGGCGAUAAUGGAUCACCUUGUCGAAGACCGCGCUUCGAAACAUGGUAGUCGGGGAACCCUCCGCUAGCGCACAAAAGAAUACUAAACUGACUGAUGCAUGUAUGGACCAACUUUUUUUUUUUUGAAUUAAAACUAUCUGAUAAUAUAUAAAUUUCAAAACAAAAAAGAGCUGUGAUCACAUACGAUCCACCCCACAUCCUCCGCAUUGAUCCAGCCAAGUGAUCUUACGAUUGUUUAUGCCUUCAACAACUUUUGGGAACUGACUCGAUAUUUUUUAAAACGAUUUAUGUCUCAUCGUUCUUACGUAGUGGGCCUUAGACAAUGAGGAGUGUAAAAACUCUGGUGUGCUCCGGACAUCUUUUCCUUUUCCAAGGGAAAACUCUAUGUCACCUAUCGGUCCAAUACUCGUGAGUGAUUACCCAUGUCGUUUCUUUUUUAAAAGAAAGACCAUCUUCUAGGAGGUAGGACUCUCUAUGGAUAUGAUUUUUUAGGUCAUUUCAUUAACACACUUUACCUUCUGUGUUUUUUGGCGAGUCAGGAUUCUAUUUGUUGAAUUCCAACCCACCUUCAACAACCUUUAAUUUAAAUUACAAAUAAAUCGUACUAAUAAUAAGUAAAUUAACUUGGAGCCGGCCGGUUGGGCGUUUCUAGCCCAUAUUUUCGUUAAUCGUUGCUCUUGGGUCGUUUCUCUGUCCUUGUAUCUAUUCGUCAUGAAUGUGUUUGAUAUAUCCUAUAUUAUCCGUCUCCCUAUCUCUUGCGGUUACUUGCGUCUGUCUCCGUGCACUCUUUUGCGUCUUUCAGUUCAGAUCCCCCAGACUGUCGCAGCCGUGUAUGGCCAUGUUAGACCCCAACAUGGCGUGUUCUUCGUUCUGACGUGAGCCCCUGCUAUUACCUGAUCUAAAGAGAGUCGUGCGCAUGUUAUCAAACCUGGUUUGGUUUUACAUUUAGCAUAUAAGACCGUAAAUCCAUAAAAAAAUUACAUCUGAAAAACACAUGGUCUUGCGAUUCCCAUGAUCCUUUACAUAAGAUGCAGUCAUCAUUUUCCCCUCUUUCUUUUAGCUCAGCCAACCUAGUGAGAGAGGAUCUCGUAUCCUGGGACAUCACCAAAAACCCACAUCCCAGCACGCAAAGAGGGGGGAAUACUGAUAGUACAAGGUCCAACACACAGACCAUAGUACUAAAAGACGUAUCCCAAAGUAUCUAAUACGCAGAGGAGGGGGGAGUACUGAUGAUACAGUAUCCCGAACCUGGUCACAACCUACCAGCAACUAGAAGUCCGGAUAGCCUAAGAUGAGUUAAGAUACCUAUUCUAGGGUUGGGGAGGUCCCAAGUCGAAUCCUAGGAAGAUCGACUUUCCUGAGGAUCGACAUUCCUGGGAUCGACUUCUGAAUAAAGUCGAUCACUAGGAAAGUCGACCCCCAGAAAGUCGACCCCCAGAAAGUCGAUCUCUGGAAAGUCGAUCUCGGGCCCCGAUCUGAUCAGUUAGGCGGUUACUUCCCAAAUGACCAGAUUACCCCCAUAAGAACCCCUAUAAAUAGAGGGCACCCCCCACUCAUUGAAGGCAAGUCAUUUUGGAGUAGAAGAAUUCCUAGCGAAGCAGAGCUCUGCGCACUUGAGUUCCGGUCCGGUUUCCCGCGGAGUUCCCCGCUUGACGCUUGCUUGCGCGUCUUGGAAUACUGGUCGGGUAUCACCCCCAUCACAACCUUUAUCGAUAUCUUACCCCAUCUAGCCUUCCAUAAUGUUAUGCUAAAUUUCCUAAUACUAGUGGUUCAUACCCCCUCCCAAAAUUUGCCGACCUCUUUUCUAUUCCUUAUGGAUUUCUAGGCGUUCUUGUAUGUUGGUGGUGAGGUACCACUCCCGGUCUAAGUACAGUUGUAGUUAGGUUCACAUUUUAAGACCUUAUCUAUCUUGUAUUUGCUAUCUAUUAUUCCAGCCCAUAAGGCAGAAUCUACCCUUCGUUGUUUGUCUAUGUUUCUAAAGUCUUUUCCCCUCACAUAUCUCUCUCUCAUCCAUGAGGCCCAAAUAUAGUCCUGAGCCGACCAGAUCCUUACCAACCUGGUUAUCCUAGACGCCUCUGCUGAUUUUAAGAAGCAUCUCAUCCCUAGGCCCCCCUCCUCCUUGGGCAGUGUCAUUAUUUGAACCCAAGCAAAGUCUUGCUUCCCGUUCCAUAUGUACCUAGAUGAAAUGGAUUGCAGGUCCUUAAGUGUUUCUUCUGGUAGUCUAUUGGAUAUAUUCCAGUAGUUGAAUAUGCUCAUUAUUCUCCAAUGGAACAGUUGCACCCUCCCCGCACGAGACAACAAUCUUGUCUUCUACCCUUCUACCUUCUCAUUAAUCUGAUCUAUCAAAGGAGUGCAAUUCUUCUGAUAUAUAAUCCUAGGUGAGAGAGGCAAACCUAGAUAUUUGGUUGGAAAUUAAAGAUUCCCUCACUGAACCUUAUAGAUGAGUCAACAGUUCUUCUCUGCCCUUGGCCUAGUUGAUUUUGAGAAAAAGAUCUCACUCUUUGCCUCGCUUACCUUUAGUCACGUCUUUGAUUCAAAUAUCCUAAACGCCUCGUCUAUGGAUUUGAGGGAUUUCUUCUUUGGUCUUGCAGAAAAUUAGGAGGUCAUCUGCGUAGACCAAGUGGGAGAUCCCCAUAACGCUGUGUUGCUUAAAUGUGCUUAUCUGUUUUCUCCCCACCAUCUCGUUGAUGAGAAUUGCCAUAUUCUGCAUUAGUAGUGUGAAGAUGUAGGAAGAGAGGGGGCCUUCUUGCCUUAUUCUUCUCUUGGGUAAGAUCUGUGGGGUUGGUGAUCCAUUCACCAAAAAAGAUAGGGAUGAUGUGGUUAUACAUAUCAUUAUGAUCCCGAUGAUCAUUUAGCUGAAUCUUAAUUCUAGUAGGGUGUCCUCUAAAAUUCUCAACUACAAGUGUUGAUCGAACGCUUUAUAGCUGCAUUUGCCCCUUCAUAAUUAAUUUGCCCUUCCAAACCCUUUUAUCAUCUCGGUUGCUAAGAGAUAGUUGUCACCAAUCAAUCUGCAUGGGAGGAAGGCAGUUUGAUUGUUAUCGACCAAGGUCUUUACCACUCGGACGAAUCUAUUUGUUAUAACUUUAGACAGUAUUUUGUAUGUGGUAUUGAUACAGGAUAUGUGUCUGAAUUGGUCCAUCCUUGUUGGGUUCUUGAUCUUUGGUAUUAGAUAGUCAUGAAGGUCGCGUUUGUUUGUCUUAGGAGGGGAUCGCCUAAAAAAAUAGAUUGUAUGACCUUUACAAGAUCCUUGUCCCAACCAACUUUCUGAAUUGAACAUCAUACCAUAUCAUUUCCAGUGCGACGCUAUUCUCAAUAGCGUCCUAACGAACCGAGUUAAAGGCUUUUUUAAAAUCCAAAAUAAUCGCAUGCAGCUCGCCUUCCUAUAUAUACUCUUGCAAUUGAAGUCCAUGAUAAAUUCGUGCGCUAAUCCUAUAUUGUCGCUUAUCCUCUUUUUUUUAAUGAAGCCCGUUUAAUUUGGAGAGAUAAAUUGAGGCAAAGUCAUCAUCAACCUACUUGUAAGAAUCUUAGAAAUAAUCUUGUAAGAAACUCAAUUAUAUACUAAACUGGACCUAAGUGUAAUUUGGAUUAAAUUCAGGACUCGUCAACAGUUAUUAUUAAGUGUUCCAUGUGCAGGUAAUUUACUCAACACUUGAAAGUCGAGAUAAAAGAAAUUGGAGGAGUGGAGGGCUAAAGCCCAAAAGUUUAAAUAAAACGUUAGUGGUAGAUGGACCAGAAGUAUUGUGCUAAAUCUUUAAAUAGUUAGUUGCAGAAUUAGUUAAUCCAAUUGUAAUAAAUAAGAGUUUUUAUUAACUAAUUUUAAUUAAUCAUUUUUACUCUCGCAUUAACUGUUUCGACAGACAAUUAUUACUGUUGACCUAGUAUUUCUUCCCUUCCUCCUAAUCCUCUCCGCCGACACGCGCAAUCUCAAGCGAUAGCCGUCUUCUACAUUUGAAGUAGGGUUGGGAAUAGCCGACGCCUCUGAGAUUUAACAGACCCUCUCCCUUUGGGAAUCACUGUAAUGAAAGUAUUAUUUAAUGACGGGAUGAUCCUACUAUCACGGAAGAAUUGCAGAAUUGUUUGAAUAAAAUUUUCCUUGACAACCUCUGAUGCGGACGAAGCACCCACUAAAAGGCAGAGACGUUUGCGGGCGGCGAUGAGUGACUACUGCACCAUCUGAAAUCACUCACCAGAGAAGAAGAAGAACUCUAUUUUAAUAAUUUGCUUUAUUAUCUAAACAAUUCUAAGUAUUACAAUUAUAACCCUGUUGGUUAUAAUAUUAAAUAUUGCAACUAAAUUAUAGUUGCUUAGUCGUGUAUUACAAUUAUAACCCUGUUGGUUAUAAUACUAAAUGUUGCAACUAAUUUAUAGUUGCCUAAUCGUGUGUUGCAACUGAAUUAUAGUUGCAUAGUGUCGGACUAUAUAAGUCCAAGACCAAGAAAUGAAUGGAGAAACAACAAGUUUUGAUUCCUAUUUCCAAUUUACUUUUUUAUUUUUAAUUCUAAACACUAGUCUUUUCCGACGAUCGCCGGAGCUAACGUCAUCUCAAGGCGUUACAUUUGCUGCUUUCAAAUGACUACCGAAUCCACCAGGGAAAAAGAAGUCGGCGAGAGCAGCCGAUCAUUGUCGAUAGGCCAUCGAGUUGAAGUACUGGCAGAACUACACAACAAAUCAGCCAGCGCAAUCAACCGUCUGGAAGAUGGUCUACAAGCCAUCCUGGCAAGACUGGAUCUUAGCAUCAACCACAAUCGACCACCAGAUCCAGUAACGGCCGCGGUAACCACUCAGACUAUGCAACUACCAUCUCCAAUAACACCACCAAUGCAAACAAUACCAUCCUUAACACCGGGCGUUCCAAACCUGUUUCACGCCCCACCAACUAAUAACUACCCAUAUUCUCCAGUCCCGUUCAACCCAAGUACACCAUUCAAUCAACCAAGGGAUCACCAAGUCUGCCCUGUACCUCACACAAUUCAACUACCAGGCCCCCCACCGUUCCACCCAAACCAAGGGCUGACAAGAAUCCAAGCAUAUUUUCCACCGUACCAGCCAAUAUUCCAAGACCCUCGACACUUCCACAAUCAGGUCCAACACCAAGACUACAAUGCCGAGGAACAGAACACACAACUCCACCCGAUCAAGUGGAGAUUCGACUUUCCACGCUUCUCCGGCGAGGACCCGCAGGGCUGGAUACACAAAUGCAUGUGAGGACUUCUUCGCGUUCCAUAACACACCGGAAGAGCUAAAGGUGACUUCCGCAGGGUUCAAUUGUGAAGGGAGGGCAGCAGAGUGGAUUAGGUACAAGAGGGCACAACAACAGAUCAACUCAUGGCCGGAGCUAUGUGCCAUGAUCACCCUACGCUUUGACGGGAAGGGAAGCCGCAUAAGACACCUCAGCAACUAUGCCAGAAUACAACAAAAGACGACGGUGAAGGACUUCAUCGAGAGAUUUGAAGAGCUAUCGAACAGAGCAGGAGUAUUCAGCGAUCAAUUCAGGACAAAAACGUUCAUAGAUGGAUUGAAGGAUGAAAUAAAAUCAAAAAUGAGAUAGCACUAUUUAAACCUCAAACGGUCGAAUAUGCUCAGGAGAUGGCACUGUUGAUGGAAAUCAAGCUAAACGAGGGACGAAGGUCACAACGACAGUACCAAUCAAACAACAGACCAAGCCGUGAGGCGCCAUCGGAAGUGAAAAGACUAACGAUCGAAGAACAAAGAAAUCGAAGGGAUGCCGGGCUGUGCUACAAUUGUGACGAACGAUACCACAGAGGGCACGUAUGCAAGAAACCAGCAAGGGUUCUAUGUCGGGAAGCAAUGGACGACAUCGACGACGAAGAACAAGCCAUGGAGGACUCGCUGGGAGAACCCGAGGUAACUCAAAUGGAAGAAAACAGAGAACCGGUGGAGGAAAACAGGGAUCCCAACACGAACGUGACUCUGCUGACGAUCAUCGGCGAGGCCGCCCCCUGCACCAUCCAAGUACAAGGCACCAUAAAAGACACCCAUCUGGAAAUCCUAAUCGACUCGGAUGCCAACCUCAAUUCCAUACAUCGAAAAUGGGCCAAAGAAUUGAACUUACCUAUCGACAGAUCGAGCCGCCUUCCCGUGUUGGUCGGAAAUGGAAACACGAUGACGUGCCUCGGAGUUUGCAGAGAUGUCGAGGUCACGAUGGGAUCCGCGACGUUUAUCGUCGACCUUCAAGUCGCACCCUUUAACGGAGCCGACAUCAUAUUGGGCGUCUCGUGGUUAGAAACACUGGGUCGUGUAACCUUUGACUACCGCCAACGUUCAGUCUCGUUCGGAAUCAACAACUCGUCACACACUCUUGAGCGCAUUCAAAGAACCCAUUCCCACGGCCGUUCCAUUAUUUGUAAACGUUCACACUAACAACGACGACAAGGACUACGAAUUAUUUUUCCUCAAAAUGAACCCAAUUGAUCAAAGCUCACCCAAAUCGGCACCAAUUCCACCGGCGGUGCAGGUCAUUUUGGAUCACUUUGCAGACACAUUCAGACCCAAGAAGGGACUACCUACGACAAGGGAGAAAGACCACGACAUAUUACUUCAUCCAGAGGCAGGACCCAUCAAGGUCAGACCAUAUCGAUAUCCAUAUCACCAGAAGGCAGAAAUUUCAAAAUUAGUGGAUGAAAUGUUAGGAAAUGGGGUAAUCCAACCAAGCAGAUCACCGUUCUCAUCACCAGUGAUACUUGUAAAGAAGAAAAACGGAAGUUGGAGAUUUUGCGUGGAUUAUAGAGCACUGAACAACAUCACCGUCAAAGACGCUUACCCGAUUCCGACGACCGACGAGAUAUUCGACGAACUACAUGGAUCAAAAUACUUUUCGAAGAUCGACUUGAAGUCCGGAUUUCACCAAAUUCGCUUGACUCCAGAAUCAGUCCCAAAAUCAGCAUUUCGCACCCAUGACGGUCAUUACGAAUUCCGGGUGGUGCCGUUUGGGUUGUGUAAUGCAUCGUCGACGUUCCAAUCUACGAUGAAUGCGAUCUUCAAGCCACAACUACCAAAGUAUGUGAUGGUUUUCUUCGAUGACAUAUUGAUCUACAGCAAGGAUUGGCCGUCGCACCUGAGUCAUCUACGCUUAGUAUUAGCUACUCUGGCCAAGAAUUCUCUGGUAGCUAAUAAAGAUAAAUGAAAUUUCGCACUCCGCUCGAUAGAUUAUUUGGGUCACAGAAUAUAUAUCGGGGGAGGGAAUUGAAGUAGAUCAGAGCAAGAUUGAAGCGAUAAUUAACUGGCUGAUACCAACCAACACGAAGCAACUACGGGGAUUUCUCGGACUAACGGGUUACUACCGGAGGUUUGUGAGACACUAUGCGAUGAUGGCAACAUCCUAACGGGUUACUACUGUUCCACGGCCGUUCCAUUAUAACCAAUGUUCUUUGUAGAAUUCAGAUCCGAUACCAUCGAGGCCGGAAGACUUGUUUGGUGCCAUGGAGAAUAGUGCAUUUUUAAUUUCUACUUCAUUAGGAGGGACCCUCAUCUAUGCAUUCCAUUCCGGAGUUAUCCGAUAAGAAAAUUCAAACUCUAAAAUAGGGCGCUUUCUAUUCUCACAAUCAUAUAGUUCUGUGAAAUAUCUCACCAAUCUUGCUUUCAUAUCAUCUAGGUUUGUUACUUGAUUCCCUGUCUCAUCGAUUGUUCUCAUAACAGAUUUUUUUGCGCACCUAUUCCUAAUAACAUGUCCGAAAAAUGCGCGCGGUCUACUGAUCUCCUUGUUGUAACCAACCAAUGUGAGCCUUUUGUCGCAAAUCCAUCUCUUGUCUUGUCUGAAAUUCCGUCAGUUUUUCUUUCAACUUCUUACAUUCAGAUUGUAAUUCUAGACUUUCAGGAUUAAGAUGAAGAUUCCGUAUCGACUUAUCCAACUUGUCCGACACUUCUUUCUAUUUUCGCCUCGAGUCGCCAUUGUUUUUUGCCCAGGCUUUGACUGCAGUUUUCACUCUCUUAAGUUUCUCUUGAAGUAUAUACAUCGCCGAACCUUGAAUAUCUAUGCACCAAGUCUGUGUAAAAAUAGUGUUGAAUUCUGGACACCUAAGCCAACUGUUAAAAAAUAUGAACGUCCUCUUUCCACCCACGAACUCAAUCAGAUAUCUAGAAUAAGUGCUGAGUGAUCACUCGACGUUCCAUGGUACAUUCUUGACUUUGUGUGUCGCUCCGAAAAUCCAUUGGCCCACGUGAAAGAAUCGCUCAUUGGAUCUAACUCUACUAGUCCGUCAACUGAUAUGUUGAAGGCAUCGACACCAGCCUGAUCGAAAGUUCUCGCUCUGUUUCUAUCUUCCGGAAGUCGUAUCUCAUUAAAAUCACCUCCAAUCACCUAUUCAUGCCGCUCAUAUAAACCUCUAAGAGUUGUGAUGCAUCUCCAUAAAUCCUGCCUAUCGAUCACUUGGUUUAUUCACUUCGUAAACCAUUGUUAGAUAAAAUUUGUAUCCUCGAUCCGGUGUUCUCCAACAUCACAUGAAUAAACUCAUCAAACUGUUUCCGUAGUUCCAACAGAUGUAGAGUCCAUUGGUUUUUUUUCCACUCCAACCCAUAUCGAAUCUCUAUUGUUGGCAUCAUCCUCGUUAAAUAAUAAACCAAUCACAUGCCAUAGUAUUUAUAAGAUCUUUUUGCUUUUCAAUCUUCAAUUUAGUCUCGCAGAAACCAAAAAUUUCAAUCUUUUUUUUCCAGUAAUAAAUUUCUCAAUUCUAAUUGCCUAAUCCUAGCCCCCUGACAUUCCACCAAAGGAGAGACAUCACUCAGGGAUGUGAUUCUCUUGUGGAGCUGGUAUUUAAAAUGUUGUCAGCAUAGAGCUAUCGACCCCACGUUGAAAUCAAUUAGAAAGUUGUUGCGCUGGUCUCUGGGAUAUUAAAGCUCUGAGCAACGGAAAUUGCAACUGAACCUCAUCUUCUUCCUGAUUUUCCAGCCUCUCCAUAAUCUCUUCUCUCCUCUUUUUUCUCACAGCUAGAUCCCAUGACCAUCCUCGAGAUGAUGUGUCAGAAGUUACUGAAACGUUGAGACCAGGUAAGGCGCUGAAUACUUUAUUCCAUGCCAAAAUAGAGAUCGCAUUGUCUUCAAUGUUUUGCUCAUUUGAUCCCAUCUGGUAUUUCAGCUUGAGUCGUAAUUUCAUUAAUUUCUUUAAUUGGGUUAUUGGCAUCUUCCACAAUUGUAUUAUUUAUCAAAUUAGCCACUUUCUUUGUUUGGUCUAAAUCUAUAUUUCCUUAGCCAAUUAACAUUAUUGUUUUCAUUCUAUUGGAUCCGAUGAUAACCGGAGAGAAAACAACCAACAUCGAAGAUCUCUAUGACGAAGUUCUGUUCCAAAUUCUCCGAUUUUUAGAUGGUCCAGCGCUCGCGACGACAAGUUGCACCGCCCCACGUUUCCAAAAAAUCGCCACCAAUCAUGAUCUCUGGCAGCAACUGUGCCUAUCCUCCUUCCCUUCUCUUCGACAAAGUUCACUGCUGCUGCUUCAACUUAAUUCUAAUUACCAAUCCUUCUUCUCCAACGUCUACCCUUUCUCCGUUCCGAAUCCGGAACCGAUUGUUUCCGACGAUGCGGUACAGAAACCGAUCGGUAUCUUCUGCGCUAUCGAUAUCCACCAUAAAGAUGAUCUGAUCUUCUCAAAACUCGUCGAAAUAAACCUCAGAUCCCAGUCUCAGUUCCAGUGGUUCUUAUCGUCCCCGUUCCAUAUCGACGUUUACAACCAACUAAAGCAAGACGAACGAGAACAUGCACCCAUUAACCCAAUAUCACCGGAAGAGCUCACUCUUAGUUGGAUAGUGAUUGUACGACCCACGAGUAGUAUUCGGGCAGCAAACUUAUCCAGCCGACGACCUGUGUCGAUUAACAAAAAUCCAUACACUGAAGAAACUAAUAUUCAGUUCGCCACAGUCAUCGGAGAUUAUAUUGCUUCUGCAAUGGUGACGUACUGUAGUGAAACGAUGCAGUUGUUGGAAGUGAGUCUGAACAUGAAGGGACA